UGGUAAUUAUCAAGGCUUUCAGAAGGCAGUUUCUCAUUUGCUGUGGACAAAGCAUUUUCCCACUAGGUUUUCUUUCUGCUACAGUGCUAGCAUUCAGACUGCUGGGGACAUUU